rnacentral:rRNA from 1 species
UUAAGCCAUGCAUGUCUAAGUACAAGCCCUUGUACGGUGAAACUGCGAAUGGCUCAUUAUAUCAGUUAUAGUUUACUUGAUAGUUCCUCUACUUGGAUAACCGUAGUAAUUCUAGAGCUAAUACAUGCCCGAAGUCCGGAGUCGCAAGACGAAGGAUGCAUUUAUUAGAUCGAACCAACGUUGUUGGUGAGUCAUAGUAACUGAGCGAAUCGCCGUUUGGCGAUGGUUCAUUCAAGUUUCUGCCCUAUCAGCUUUCGAUGGUAGGGUAUUGGCCUACCAUGGCGUUAACGGGUAACGGAGAAUUGGGGUUCGAUUCCGGAGAGGGAGCCUGAGAGAUGGCUACCACAUCCAAGGAAGGCAGCAGGCGCGUAAAUUACCCAAUCCUAAUUCAGGGAGGUAGUGACAAGAAAUAACAAAGCGGGGCCGAAUGGUUCCGCAGUGGAAUGAGAACAAUUUAAAUCCCUUAUCGAGGAUCAAUUGGAGGGAAAGUCUGGUGCCAGCAGCCGCGGUAAUUCCAGCUCCAAUAGCGUAUAUUAAAGUUGUUGCAGUUAAAAAGCUCGUAGUUGAAUCUCUGAGCUCUCCGACGGGGUCCCUUUGGGGCACCGUGGGUGGGUUCCUCCUUGGCGUAAGCCCGUCCUCCGCGAGGAGGCGCGGUCGCUUCGUCAUCGUUUACUGUGAACAAAUUAGAGUGUUUCAAACAGGCUGAGGCUUGAAUACAUUAGCAUGGAAUAAUAAGAUAGGACCACGGUGCUAUUUUGUUGGUUGCGCACUGAGGUAAUGAUUAAUAGGGAUAGUUGGGG